CCAUAGCAGCAGUGAGAUGAGGAGUGCCACCUACUCCACUGCACGUCUGUACUGAGAGAAGGAAGAAGGGAGAAAAAGAGUUGUACAACCACGGUGUUCCAAAGGAUAUCCUCUAAUCAGCACUGAACCUCUCCUGAGAAAAAUCUUCAAACUAGUCAUGGAACAGAAGGCGAAUGAGUGUCCUACCACCACCACCACCACCACAUCUCCUCAGAAGCACAUGAAGAACAGAUCCAAAUCCACAGAGGAGAUGCAACAGACAAAGAAGUCCUUAUCCUCACAAAAAUCACUCCCGGGCAGACCAGAGCUGGAAAAAGUGAAGGAGUGUCCUGAUGGCUCUGACACUCCCUCGUCCUCCACCGAGGAGCUGAAGUGACGAACGGAAGGACAUUAGACUUAAGCCAUCAAGUUACAAGAUCAUCACUUAACAUGCAUAAAAAGAACAAAUAUACACAGGGAAACAUACAAAAUAUGAUUCAAGAUAUUUGUGAACUAGAUUAGAAAACACACAAGCAAUUAAUUUAUGAUUGGUGGAAAUAAACUUUUCAAAACAUGGUAAAUUGAACACACACACACACACACACACACACACACACACACACACACACACACACACACACACUGAAACAAUCACUUGUAAACCUGUGAUGAUGCUGUUUCAUGGUACUGUGAGUGUCGUAUACA